UACAGAGGUCUCAAGCGUUGUUCGGAUUCAUUGGGCGUAAAGGGUGCGUAGGCGGCGGGGUAAGUCGGAUGUGAAAUCCCGGGGCUCAACCCCGGAACUGCAUUCGAUACUGCCUUGCUAGAGUACUGGAGAGGAGACUGGAAUUUACGGUGUAGCAGUGAAAUGCGCAGAUAUCAGGAAGAACACCCGUGGCGAAGGCGGCUCUCUGGAACGCAACUGACGCUGAGACGCGAAAGCGUGGGGAGCAAACAGG
rnacentral:rRNA from 1 species